GAUUGGUAAGUCAGUGGUGAGAUCCUCUCGCUUAACGGGAGAAUUGCCGUUGAUACUAUCAAUCUUGAGUACACUUGAAGUGGGCGGAAUGUGUCAUGUAGCGGUGAAAUGCAUAGAUAUGACACAGAACACCGAUUGCGAAGGCAGCUCACUAAAUUGUAACUGACGCUGAGGCACGAAAGCGUGGGGAGCAAACAGGAUUAGAUACCCUGGUAGUCCACGCUGUAAACGAUGAUCACUAGCUGUUGGCGAUACACUGUCAGCGGCUGAGCGGAAGUAUUAAGUGAUCCACCUGGGGAGUACGAUCGCAAGGUUGAAACUCAAAGGAAUUGACGGGGGCCCGCACAAGCGGAGGAGCAUGUGGUUUAAUUCGAUGAUACGCGAGGAACCUCACCUAGGCUUAAAUGCUUUUUGACCGUCCUGGAAACAGGAUUUCCCUUCGGGGCAAAUUGCAAGGUGCUGCAUGGUUGUCGUCAGCUCGUGCCGUGAGGUGUCGGGUUAAGUCCCAUAACGAGCGCAACCCCUAUUCUUAGUUGCCAUCAGGUAAUGCUGGGAACUCUAAGGAAACUGCCUACGCAAGUAGUGAGGAAGGUGGGGAUGACGUCAAAUCAGCACGGCCCUUACGCCUAGGGCUACACACGUGCUACAAUGGCCAGCAUAGUGGGUUGCUACCUGGUAACAGGAUGCUAAUCUCUAAAUCUGGUCUCAGUUCGGAUUGAAGUCUGCAACUCGACUUCAUGAAGUUGGAUUCGCUAGUAAUCGCGCAUCAGCAAUGGCGCGGUGAAUACGUUCCCGGGCACUUGUACNACACCGCCCGUCAAGCCAUGGAAGCUGGGAGUGCCUGAAGUCUGUAACCGCAAGGAG
rnacentral:rRNA from 1 species